rnacentral:misc_RNA from 1 species
GAUGAAGAACGUAGCGAAAUGCGAUAAGUAAUGUGAAUUGCAGAAUUCAGUGAAUCAUCGAAUCUUUGAACGCACAUUGCGCCCGCUAGUAUUCUGGCGGGCAUGCCUGUCCGAGCGUCAUUUCAACCCUCAAGCCCCCGGGCUUGGUGUUGGGGAUCGGCGAGCCUCCGCGCCCGCCGUCCCCUAAAUCUAGUGGCGGUCUCGCUGUAGCUUCCUCUGCGUAGUAGCACACCUCGCACUGGGAAACAGCGCGGCCACGCCGUAAAACCCCCCGACCACGGAGCCCCGGCUCCUGAACGUUGACCUCGGAUCAGGUAGGAAUACCCGCUGAACUUAAGCAUAUCAAUAAGCGGAGGA